rnacentral:rRNA from 1 species
UGGGGAAUUUUGGACAAUGGGCGCAAGCCUGAUCCAGCCAUGCCGCGUGCGGGAAGAAGGCCUUCGGGUUGUAAACCGCUUUUGUCAGGGAAGAAAUCUUCUGAGUUAAUACCUCGGGAGGAUGACGGUACCUGAAGAAUAAGCACCGGCUAACUACGUGCCAGCAGCCGCGGUAAUACGUAGGGUGCAAGCGUUAAUCGGAAUUACUGGGCGCAAAGCGUGCGCAGGCGGUUUUGUAAGACAGAGGUGAAAUCCCCGGGCUCAACCUGGGAACUGCCUUUGUGACUGCAAGGCUUGAGUGCGGCAGAGGGGGAUGGAAUUCCGCGUGUAGCAGUGAAAUGCGUAGAUAUGCGGAGGAACACCGAUGGCGAAGGCAAUCCCCUGGGCCUGCACUGACGCUCAUGCACGAAAGCGUGGGGAGCAAACAGGAUUAGAUACCCUGGUAGUCCACGCCCUAAACGAUGUCAACUGGUUGUUGGGAAGGUUCCUUCUCAGUAACGUAGCUAACGCGUGAAGUUGACCGCCUGGGGAGUACGGCCGCAAGGUUGAAACUCAAAUGAAUUGACGGGGU